rnacentral:rRNA from 1 species
GGAGGCAGCAGCAAGGAAUUUUCGGCAAUGGGCGCAAGCCUGACCGAGCAACGCCGCGUGGAGGACGACGGCCUUCGGGUUGUAAACUCCUUUUGCGGGGGAUGAUCGUGACCGUACCCCGCGAAUAAGGCUCGGCUAACUCUGUGCCAGCAGCCGCGGUAAGACAGAGGAGCCAAGCGUUGUCCGGAUUGACUGGGCGUAAAGCGCACGCAGGCGGUCGUGCACGUGGGGUGUGAAACCUGGCCGCUUAACGGCCAGACGCCACCGCAUACGGCGCGACUUGAGAGUGGCAGAGGUUCGUGGAAUUGCCGGUGUAGUGGUGAAAUGCGUAGAGAUCGGCAGGAACACCAAGGGCGAAAGCAGCGAACUGGGCCAUAUCUGACGCUCAGGUGCGAAAGCGUGGGGAGCGAACCGGAUUAGAUACCCGGGUAGUCCACGCCGUAAACGAUGAAUACUCGGCAUCUGGUGGCCGAUUUUCGGCGGCCGGGUGCCCCAGCUAACGCGGUAAGUAUUCCGCCUGGGAACUACGAGCGCAAGCUUAAAACUCAAAGGAAUUGACGG